rnacentral:rRNA from 1 species
GACGUAGGGCGCGAGCGUUGUCCGGAUUUAUUGGGCGUAAAGAGCUCGUAGGCGGCUUGUCGCGUCGUUCGUGAAAACCUGCAGCUCAACUGCAGGCUUGCGGUCGAUACGGGCAGGCUAGAGUUCGGUAGGGGAGACUGGAAUUCCAGGUGUAGCGGUGAAAUGCGUAGAUAUCUGGAGGAACACCGGUGGCGAAGGCGGCAUCCUGGACCGAAAUUGACGCUGAGGCGCGAAAGCCAGGGGAGCAAACGGG